ensembl:snoRNA SNORA62 Small nucleolar RNA SNORA62/SNORA6 family
CAUGCACACUGUUAAAGCUUGGAGCUGAGGUCAGUUUCUGACCAAUGAACUCCCAAGUGUCGGAAGUGUGCUACAGUGAAAGUAAUGGCAGGAUUUUCGCUAACACCAGGAGAGGUUUCCUCUGUGACUGGAGUUUGAUAGUGAUCGCUGCCACAAAC